rnacentral:lncRNA from 1 species
UUACAAGAACGAAAACAUAUAAAGAAGUGUCAAGUGCAUCAACAUAUGUCAUUAAAUCAUAAUAAACGAUCGUAAAUGCUAGUGGCAAACUUUUGCCAGAGGUGGGUAGGUAGAGGGCGGUGAAUUCCUCAAUCAAAAACAGAGCCUGCACCUACGUGGAAGAAGCCCCUGCCCUCGUCUCUCUCAUCUACUCCUUCCACCAAGAGACCCGCGAUGGGAAGCGCCGGCGUCCUCUCUUCAGUCGCAAGAAGGUAAAGGCAUCGCGCAACUUGACCAAUGCUUGUUCUUAAAAUCAUCAUAGAAACCUAUCAUGCAUUAAGCUGAGCUUCUAUAUAUGGAAUGCUCGCAGGCUUGAAGGCAAGGUGGCACUC